GGUCAUACAGCUAGGAAGUGUCUGAGGCCAUAUUUGAACCCACAAUUUCCUAUUUCUAGACUUUAUCCACUGAACCACGUAGCUGGCUGUUUUGCUCAUCAUUAAGCACUUCAGAAAAAUGAAUUUGAGGUGUUUUUACCUUUGUAACUUGGGCUAAGUUCUUUUUUUCAAGACCUUGGUUUCCUAUUCUGUAAAAUGAGGGGGCUAACUUAAAUGUUGGUCAUUUCCAAUGGAUGAAUUAUUGUGUGUGUUUUUGAUGCCUCACAGGAUGCUUUAUGAAGCUCUUUUCUCACAUGACAACCUUGUGAAGUAGGUAGUCCAAGUAUUGUUUCCUCCAUUUUUGAGUGAGGAAACUGAGGCACAGAGAAACAAAAUGACUUGCUCAGGGACCCACUGGCAACAAAAGUCAGAACAAGGAUGCAAACCCCAGUUUCCUAAAUCUUAAUCUAGCAUUCCCUUACACCUGAUGCCUGAAGAACAGUUGGUUAUAGAAUCAUUUCCAUAGGAUGAUUACCUUCCUUGACCACCAUCUGUAAAACAUGCGCUAUAACUUCUUUAGCCCUUGCUGGAAUUGAGUCAUUGUUAUUUCCCCAUUCUUAUAUACUUUUUGUGGAUCUACAAGAUAGUUACCAUGUUGCCUUGUAACAGAAGAAAACAAACUGGACUGCUUGAGGAUUAAACCUGGCCUUUGCCUUGUUAGCAUCAGAACCCUUGAGGAAGGGUUAAUGGCCAAUGGAAGGAAAAAAUCCCAACUGCUCGUUCCUCCCAGUUAACUAGACAAUAGAGGUAAAAGCAGAUAUAUGGGGAAUUUCCCAUAAAUCUCUGUUGAAAUGUAAUUCAGUCAAUGAACCUCUUAAUGCCUGUCUUUUUAACAUCUGCCAGGUUACAGGAGCAUCAAGAGGUUUUGCUUUGGCAAAGUUCUUUUGAAUUUUUUGAGGUGAAGGGAAACAGUAGAAGACUAGGGUUAUAAUUGCAACUUGCAUUACAUGUGCCAUGAGGACAAUCCUGAUUUUCUUUCUAAAAUGGCCCUUGUCCCAUGCAGGCUUUCUGGGGCAUCAUGAUUUAGGGAAGACUUCAAGUAAAAGAAGGAAUUUUAAUUGGAACUUAAAGGAAGCCACGGAGGUCAAUAGUUAGAGUAUGAGAAGACCAUUUCAGUCAUGGGUCAGGCAGAGAAAAUGCCCAGAGAGAUGCAGUGUCUUGUCUGUGGAACAGCCAAGUAGUCAGUGCCAUUGGAUCAAAGAGUAUAUCAGGAGGGCAAAGUAUAAGAAGACUGGAGAGUGUAUCAGAAACGAAUGAACAAAGGAUCUGGUGAACUUUGGAAGGCUGGAAGAGCCAAGUGAAGCCCCAAAACAGAAGUCCAUAACAGAGUAUGCCAUAAGUACAGCAACCGAGCCAGGUGAGGAGGCAGCCUCAGGGAAAGACUUACAAGAUCUACCCCAGAAGUGGAUCAUCCUGGCAGCUGAGACAUUGUUCUUCUGCAAGCAAUGGAGCAAUCCAAUUGGCUAUGUCAAAAGAAAUGAACUUGUAUGGGGAAAAUGUUGGUAGUUGCCAAUUUAAGUGUGAAUUCCACUCCUUAGCAACUAAGAGGGUAUGUUUUUGAUUUCAUAGUUUUUUGUACUUUGGUUCUUACUCUCUCUUCUCAAUAAAUGCCACUCAGUAAAAGCUAAUUGAGGGAGCAACUUUCAUUUUGUUUUUACUUAUCUAUAUAGAUGUUGUUUCACCCAUAUAGAAGUUCCUUGCAGUCAUGGGCUAUUUUAUUUUUAUCUUUUUAUCUCUAACAUUUAGCUAGAGCCUGGUACAUAGUAAGUGCUUAAUAAAUGUCUGUUGAUAUGAAUUCAACUGAAAACCAAA